AGUUUGGGUUUUAGCAACUGAUUGGAAAGUGAUGCCAUUCACAUUGGACACGUUUAAAUUUGAGACGCUAGUGGAACAACCAUGUAUAGACACCUACUCGGCAAUCCUGCAUAUGAUCUCAACAUCAGAAGAGAGAUGUGGGCUGAUGACACAGAACUGAGAAUAGCCAGCGUUGCCACUGGGAGUAACCAUCACAUAUGUGGCAAAAAAGGCCAUUGGCGCAGAUAUAAUCACCCAGGCGGGAUGUGUAAAAUGGAAAAAGAAGGCAACCUAGAAGCAGGAUUCAACGUAUCAGAUACAGUAAUGAAGACAAUAAGAAAUUGGAUUGAUCCAGGUCUGGAGUUUUGCCACAGAGUGAAAUGGAACAACAAUAUGCAGGAGAAGUGAGGAUACUGAAUUCUACUUGAAAAUUAUACAGAAACAAUUUCUUAGAAUGCUCACAAAAGACCUGAAAACAUGGGGAGGAAGCAGGGCAUUUACAGCUUAUAACUCAUGCAAAACAACAUGCUGCAAUGUUCUGAUGAAAUGCUCCUCUACAGUCGAGGCUCCCAGAAGGCAGAGAGCAUAUUCAUUAACUCAUUCUGCUCAACACUUAGCUCAUGUCCAUGGAGAGAUGUUGAAUAUGAGCUCCUAUUAAAAAGAGGGAAUACAAUCAAUCAUUUGAGAAUGUCCAAAAAGAACUUUUCCUUUCCAUCGAGCCUUACAAAUUAUUCUAAGAUUGUUUCUGUAAAUACCAUGUAAUUGGGAGAGAUACACAGGGAGCGUCAAUUGUGUCUGUAAUGUUUUACUGCUUAUGAUAAAAAGAUCUGAAACUAAUGUGACAAAAUACUAAGAUUUCACAGAA
ensembl:lncRNA novel transcript, antisense to ACSS3